UACGUAGGGUGCAAGCGUUGUCCGGAAUUAUUGGGCGUAAAGAGCUCGUAGGCGGUUUGUCGCGUCUGCUGUGAAAACCCGAGGCUUAACCUCGGGCCUGCAGUCGAUACGGGCAGACUAGAGUUCGGUAGGGGAGACUGGAAUUCCUGGUGUAGCGGUGAAAUGCGCAGAUAUCAGGAGGAACACCGGUGGCGAAGGCGGGUCUCUGGGCCGAUACUGACGCUGAGGAGCGAAAGCGUGGGGAGCGAACAGG
rnacentral:rRNA from 1 species